UGAAGUUCACAUGCAUGUAGUAGGAGGAUGAUAGUAGAACGAUGAAGCAAGGGAAGCAUGCACAGGUCAUUCAUGGCAGUUGUCAGAUGGUGUUGUUAGAUGUUGGGUUAAGUCCCGCAACGAGAGCAACCCAUGUAUCGCGUUGCCACCCUGAUGAGAGUUCGGAGCAGUGUGGACAGAGCGCUUCGGUUUAACGAGGAGGAAGGUGGGGAUGAGGUCAAGUCAGGAUGGUCAUUUCGGCCAGGGCUGCACGCGUAGUACAAUGCUCGGCACAAAGGGACGCAAGCAAACAAGGGGGAGCAAAUCCCCAAAAGCCGAUCCCAGUUCAGAUGGUCGGGUUCAAUUCGUCGUCAUGAAGUCGGAAUCAUUAGUAAUGGAGCAUCAGUUAUGGCGCAUUGAAUACGUUCCCAGGCAUUGUACACCCCGCCUGUCACAUCAUGAAAGCCGUUUGUACCAGAAGUCGAUGUGCCAACCUCCAACGGGAGCAAUUGCCGAAGGUAUGGAUGGUGAUUGGGAUGAAGUCGUAACAAGGUAUCC
rnacentral:rRNA from 1 species